GACAGAGGAUGCAAGCGUUAUCCGGAAUUAUUGGGCGUAAAGAGCUUGUAGGCGGUUUGUCGCGUCUGCUGUGAAAAUCCGGGGCUCAACCCCGGACUUGCAGUGGGUACGGGCAGACUGGAGUGUGGUAGGGGAGACUGGAAUUCCUGGUGUAGCGGUGGAAUGCGCAGAUAUCAGGAGGAACACCGAUGGCGAAGGCAGGUCUCUGGGCCACUACUGACGCUGAGAAGCGAAAGCAUGGGGAGCGAACAGG
rnacentral:rRNA from 1 species